rnacentral:rRNA from 1 species
AUUGAACGCUGGCGGCAGGCCUAACACAUGCAAGUCGAGCGGAGCGGCGGACGGGUGAGUAAUGCCUAGGAAUCUGCCUGGUAGUGGGGGAUAACGUCCGGAAACGGGCGCUAAUACCGCGUACUAUCAGAUGAGCCUAGGUCGGAUUAGCUAGUUGGUGGGGUAAAGGCCUACCAAGGCGACGAUCCGGAACUGGUCUGAGAGGAUGAGCAGUCACACGGGCACCGAGACACGUGCCAGACGCCUACGUGAGCCAUCAGUGGGUAAUAUUGGACAAUGGGCGAAAGCCUGGUCCAGCCCUGCCGCGUGUGUGAAGAAGGUCUUCGGAUUGUAAAGCCCUUUAAGUUGGGAGGCGUUACCAACAGAAUAAGCACCGGCUAACUUCGUGCCAGCAGCCGCGGUAAUUC